rnacentral:rRNA from 1 species
GUAAGGGAUAUUGCGCAAUGGGCGAAAGCCAGACGCAGCAACGCCGCGUGCCCGAUGAAGGCCUUCGGGUCGUAAAGGGCUUUUCUGGCUGAAGAGCAAGGACGGUAAGCCAGGAAAAAGUGUCGGCUAACUACGUGCCAGCAGCCGCGGUAAAACGUAGGACGCGAGCGUUAUCCGGAGUUACUGGGCGUAAAGGGCGGGCAGGCGGCCGUGUCAGAUGGGUGUGAAAUCUCCCGGCUCAACCGGGAGGGGCCACUCGUGACUGCACGGCUGGAGGGCAGCAGAGGCGCGUGGAAUUCCGGGUGGAGUGGUGAAAUGCGUAGAGAUCCGGAGGAACACCAGAGGCGAAGGCGGCGCGCUGGGCUGCAUCUGACGCUGAACCGCGAAAGCCAGGGUAGCGAACGGGAUUAGAUACCCGGGUAGUCC